rnacentral:tRNA from 1 species
GGCAAGUUGGCUCAGAGGUUAAAGCGUCUGCCUCCAAUGCAGGAGACUCAGGUUCAAUCCCUGGGCCA